rnacentral:misc_RNA from 1 species
GUAGGUGAACCUGCGGAAGGAUCAUUAAUGAGUUAGGGUCUUCCAGGCCCGAUCUCCAACCCUUUGUAUAACUACCACGUUGCUUUGGCGGGCCCGUCUUUAACCGGACCGCCGGGAGUUUUGUAAACCCCUGGCCAGUGCUCGUCAAUAGCCCCUUCAAAAACUCUUUUUAACCACGUUAAAUCUGAAAAUGUUUAAAUAAACUAAAACUUUCAACAACGGAUCUCUUGGUUCUG